rnacentral:tRNA from 1 species
GCCUUUGUAGCUCAGUUGGUAGAGCAGGGGACUGAAAAUCCCCGUGUCGGUGGUUCGAUUCCGCCCGAAGGCACCA